CGGGCAUGAGACUCCCGCCGCGGUGCGCAUGGCUCACGGCGCCGGAUCGGGUUCGGUUGCAGCGGGCAGGAAGUUCGGUACGCCCCGGCCUACCGUGGAGCCGGUGCACGACAGGGAGCGCUGCUCUCUCCGUGCGGGUAAAGCGCCGGGGACGGCGACGGGCGACGGCGACUCCGCGAGGCCAGCAGAGGGUGGACGAGCAUUGGACGGGACGCAGGGCACUUUCUUUCGAUAACGAUGAAGCUGCGCUUUUCGAAUCAUCGUGAAUUACUGAAUUUUAUCAGAUGCACUUGUCUCAUCCAUAAUCUUCACCCAUUCCUUAUUCAUCUCACAUGUGUACGCUCCACUAAACACUGCUCCAUUAUAAUUUGGUGCUAGUUUGGGAGUUCAAAAAACGGAUAGGGUUAGAGAGCUAAAAUCACC
rnacentral:lncRNA from 7 species